rnacentral:rRNA from 1 species
UAAGGAAUAUUGGUCAAUGGACGAAAGUCUGAACCAGCCAUGCCGCGUGGAGGAUGAAGGUCCUCUGGAUUGUAAACUUCUUUUAUCUGGGACGAAAAAAGGUCUUUCUAGAUCGUCUGACGGUACCAGAUGAAUAAGCACCGGCUAACUCCGUGCCAGCAGCCGCGGUAAUACGGAGGGUGCAAGCGUUAUCCGGAUUCACUGGGUUUAAAGGGUGCGUAGGUGGGUUGGUAAGUCAGUGGUGAAAUCUUCGAGCUUAACUCGGAAACUGCCAUUGAUACUAUCAGUCUUGAAUAUUGUGGAGGUUAGCGGAAUAUGUCAUGUAGCGGUGAAAUGCUUAGAUAUGACAUAGAACACCAAUUGCGAAGGCAGCUGGCUACACAUAUAUUGACACUGAGGCACGAAAGCGUGGGGAUCAAACAGGAUUAGAUACCCUGGUAGUCCACGCCCUAAACUAUGGAUACUCGACAUACGCGAUACACUGUGUGUGUCUGAGCGAAAGCAUUAAGUAUCCCCACCUGGGAAGUACGAUCGCAAGAUUGAAACUCAAAGGAA